rnacentral:rRNA from 1 species
AUUGAACGCUGGCGGCAGGCCUAACACAUGCAAGUCGAGCGAAGCGGCGGACGGGUGGGUAAGACCUAGGAGUCUGCCUUGUAGUGAGGGAUGACAUUCGGUAACGGACGCUAAUCCCGCAUCCUAUCAGAUGACCCUAGGUCGGAUUAGCUAGUUGGUUAGGUAAUGGCUCACAAAGGCAACGAUCCGUAACUGGUCUGAGAGGAUGAUCAGUCACACUGGAACUGAGACACGGUCCAGACUCCUACGGGAGGCAGCAGUGGGGAAUAUUGGACAAUGGGCGAAAGCCUGAUCCAGCAAUGCCGCGUGUGUGAAGAAGGUCUUCGGAUUGUAAAGCACUUUAAGUUGGGAGGCGUUACCGACAGAAUAAGCACCGGCUAACUCUGUGCCAGCAGCCGCGGUAAUUC